CUUUAGCCCUGAUAGAAGUGGAAAUCCUUUUUGUACCGAUUUUUUAUCGGGACAAAAAGAUUGUAACGGAUAGCAGGUACCAUC
rnacentral:sRNA from 1 species